UGAGAAGCAAACCCGGAGAACUGAAACAUCUAAGUACCCGGAGGAAGAGAAAGAAAAAUCGAUUCCCUGAGUAGCGGCGAGCGAAACGGGAACAGCCCAAACCAGGAGGCGUGCCUCUUGGGGUUGUAGGACACUCAGCACGGAGUUACAAAAUCAACGGCUAGGCGAAGCGACCUGGAACGGUCCGCCGCAGCGGGUAACAGCCCCGUAGCCGAAAAUCCGUUCUCUCCCGAGUGGAUCCUGAGUACGGCGGAACACGAGGAAUUCCGUCGGAAUCUGGGAGGACCAUCUCCCAAGGCUAA
rnacentral:rRNA from 1 species